GAUGAACGCUGGCGGCGUGCUUAACACAUGCAAGUCGAACGAUGAAGCUCAGCUUGCUGGGUGGAUUAGUGGCAAACGGGUGAGUAACACGUGAGUAACCUGCCCUUAACUCUGGGAUAAGCCUGGGAAACUAGGUCUAAUACCGGAUAGGAGCGCCUACCGCAUGGUGGGUGUUGGAAAGAUUUAUCGGUUUUGGAUGGACUCGCGGCCUAUCAGCUUGUUGGUGAGGUAAUGGCUCACCAAGGCGACGACGGGUAGCCGGCCUGAGAGGGUGACCGGCCACACUGGGACUGAGACACGGCCCAGACUCCUACGGGAGGCAGCAGUGGGGAAUAUUGCACAAUGGGCGAAAGCCUGAUGCAGCGACGCCGCGUGAGGGAUGACGGCCUUCGGGUUGUAAACCUCUUUCAGUAGGGAAGAAGCGAAAGUGACGGUACCUGCAGAAGAAGCACCGGCUAACUACGUG
rnacentral:rRNA from 1 species